AAGAAACUCUUAGUAGUGUAGUCUGUGGGAAACCUCAAGAUGGCUGUUGGGUUUCUGAAGUUCCUGAUGUUUUGAUGCAGACCUAUGUUCCAGAUUGUUCUCUGCCUGUUAUACAGCUGACCUUUCUUGGACCAAAGCCAUGGAGAUGGUAGAAUUGUUUUAAGCUGCAAGCUGCUGUAAUCAUCCUCUGAGUUAGCACAGGAAGAGACUUUUAUAUCUCAGGCUAUUUAUCUGAAGCUUACUGCAAGGUGGUAGCUGUUCCCUGCAGGAACCCACAUUCAAACUGGACUGUUUAUCCCUCCAGCCGUGUCAAGAUUAUAUACACUCUGUUGGUAGAACUAAGUAUUCAAGGCACAGUUCCAAACUUAAAAGACAAACUGUGGAGAAAAUGGCUACUGAUGAUUUAUUUGGACCAGCAUGAGAGAAGGUUUUACUGUCAAAUGGAAAAAAAUUAAUCUCAUCUUUCUACUAAGCAACAUUCUAAGAAAAGAGAACAAGCUGAUAGCAUCUUUAUUUUCAUAUACUCUGGCAUGGAAAAAGCCUCCCCCUGAACACACACACACCCAGAGGCCCCAGUCUGAAUGAAUCCAUUUCAGCAGCCCCUGGCCAGGAACUUCAAGCCUCAGGGACCUUAUUCCCUGGAUGGGAUCUCUUGUGGCAAGCGGGGACAGUUUCUGAGCUCCAGAUGUCUGGGGUUUGUGGAGUGGCAGUAGGGCCUGGCUGGAGAAGGGCCCAUCUGCAGAGAGUCAUACAAUGCUGCAUGAUGCAGUGGUGCUUUGUGGGAGGAGGAGAGGCCUUGUCACUUCUGAGAUUGGAAAUGUGGUCAGGUCACUGAGAUUGUGUAUUAUUCCUGUUUUGAAAGUUCUGUCCAUAAGAUGUUCAACAGCUUUUUAUGGGCAGAGGUUUUGUGUGUAUAGAGGCAGAAUGAUGUGUCCAAAUAAAUUUCAGAUGGUGGGUUUGGGGGUUGGUUUUUUUGGUACUUGCUAUAUCUUUUCUGAAACGGUGGGAAGGGGGGGGGGAUUGUUCAGAAAGCAGUGAAGAGCAGCAAUAGGUAUGCUUUGGGAGGAAAAAAAAUAAAAUUUAACUUUUUCUGCAGAAAUAUAGUCCAUCAUGCAGUGAUAAUCUAACUAGCACUGGGGUACAUGAGUGUGCCAUGAGAAAUAAAUAACUCAAUAGACCACUCUGGGCUCCUUGGAGAAAAAGCAGGAUAUAUAUAUACACUGUGCCUACCCCACAGAAGAGGCUGCCUCCUAAAUCUAUGCAAGAUUUACUGUUUUAGCUUUGCUUUCUUCCCAGCAACUUUGACUAGGGCAAACAAUUCUGCCACAUCUCCGAAACCAUUCCAGCCUUCAAAGGAAGCUGCUUAUGCCAUCAGUGGAUUGCAGCACUGGGCUUGCUUCCUUUCCAGUCAAACGGCAUGUGCAGGACAGUUAAUCCUGCAGAAACAUAGGAGAUGCACAAUUCUUACACUCUACAAGUAAACCUUUUGGGGUGUGAAACUCUGGUUUUAAUUCCGCAAAAUAUACCUUACUUAGACAUUUGUGAAACAUGUUUGUCAUUCCCACUUGGAAAAAUGAAAUUGCUUUGAGGGCUAAUAAAGGGCUACAAAGACAAUUAUUCUAGCUCAGAUCCAAUUU